ACUCCGGCGGCAGAUGACCCGCGCUAUCAGUUGUUGGUGAGGAGAAGCUCACCAAGGGGACGACGGGUAGCCGGCCUGAGAGGGCGCCGCCACACUGGGAUGAGACACGGCCCAGAUCUACGGGGCAGCAGUGGGGAAUAUUGCACAAUGGGCGAAAGCCUGAUGCAGCGACGCCGCGUGAGGGAUGACGGCCUUCGGGUUGUAAACCUCUUUCAGCAGGGAAGAAGCGAAAGUGACGGUACCUGCAGAAGAAGCGCCGGCUAACUACGUGCCAGCAGCCGCGGUAAUACGUAGGGCGCAAGCGUUGUCCGGAAUUAUUGGGCGUAAAGAGCUCGUAGGCGGCUUGUCACGUCGGUUGUGAAAGCCCGGGGCUUAACCCCGGGUCUGCAGUCGAUACGGGCAGGCUAGAGUGUGGUAGGGGAGAUCGGAAUUCCUGGUGUAGCGGUGAAAUGCGCAGAUAUCAGGAGGAACACCGGUGGCGAAGGCGGAUCUCUGGGCCAUUACUGACGCUGAGGAGCGAAAGCGUGGGGAGCGAACAGGAUUAGAUACCCUGGUAGUCCACGCCGUAAACGGUGGGAACUAGGUGUUGGCGACAUUCCACGUCGUCGGUGCCGCAGCUAACGCAUUAAGUUCCCCGCCUGGGGGAGUACGGCCGCAAGGCUAAAACUCAAAGGAAUUGACGGGGGCCCGCACAAGCAGCGGAGCAUGUGGCUUAAUUCGACGCAACGCGAAGAACCUUACCAAGGCUUGACAUAUACCGGAAAGCAUCAGAGAUGGUGCCCCCCUUGUGGUCGGUAUACAGGGUGGUGCAUGGCUGUCGUCAGCUCGUGUCGUGAGAAGUUGGGGUUAAUCCCGCAACGAGCGCAACCCUUGUUCUGUGU
rnacentral:rRNA from 1 species